rnacentral:rRNA from 1 species
GAUGAACGCUGACAGAAUGCUUAACACAUGCAAGUCGAUGGGGAAGUGGUGCUUGCACCAUGGCAACCAUGGCGGACGGGUGAGUAACGCGUAAGGGACUUACCUGCAGGACUGGGAUAACAGGGGGAAACUCCUGACAAGACCGGAUAAUGUCAUGGAGCUGCAUGGCUUUAUGAUGAAAGGAGACGCCUGCGGAGAGCCUUGCGUCCUAUUAGCUAGUUGGUGAGGUAAUGGCUCACCAAGGCGAAGAUAGGUAGCCGGCCUGAGAGGGUGGACGGCCACAAGGGGACUGAGAUACGGCCCUUACUCCUACGGGAGGCAGCAGUGGGGAAUAUUGGACAAUGGGGGCAACCCUGAUCCAGCAAUUCUGUGUGUACGAAGAAGGUUUUCGGAUUGUAAAGUGCUUUCAGCAGGGAAGAAGUAAGUGACGGUACCUGCAGAAGAAGCGACGGCUAAAUACGUG